CUUGAUUUAUUGGGAUUUGUAAUACUUGUUUUUUUUUCAGGUAUUAUUCGCCCUCCUGUCGGUGGCUGCGGCCAAGCCCACUCCUGGAGACCUUCUGGGUGGACUGGGUGGAUGGGAUGCAGGGCUUAGCUACGGCCACGCGCCGAUCUCAUACGCGCAGCCAGCCCUCACGGUGGCGCACGCCCCGGUGAUCCAAGCCGCGCCCGUGGUUCAUGCCGCCCCGGUGGUACACGCUCCUGUCAUCGCGGCCAAGGCUGCCACCAGCUACUCGUCCUUCCAGCGCGUGAUCCACCCAGCGGUGGCGCAUCAAGUAGUAGCCCAACCAGUGGUCCAUGCCGCUCCAGUGGUCCAUGCUGCCCCAAUAGCCGUGGCGCAUGCCCCCGUCUCCAUCGGUCAUGGCUGGGGUAGCGGCUGGUAGUUAAUGUAUGUUAAAAUGUAAAUAAAAUGUUCAUGUCAGUUGGUUUGUAAGCGCGUUUGAAUCAUGCCGAAAAUUCGGGGUGGGUGCAAAUAAAAUAAAUAUUUAUAUCAGUAUUUUU
rnacentral:lncRNA from 1 species